UACGUAGGGACCAAGCGUUGUUCGGAUUUACUGGGCGUAAAGGGCGCGUAGGCGGCUUGACAAGUCACUUGUGAAAUCUCCGGGCUUAACUCGGAACGGCCAAGUGAAACUGUCAUGCUAGAGUGCAGAAGGGGCAAUCGGAAUUCUUGGUGUAGCGGUGAAAUGCGUAGAUAUCUGGAGGAACACCGGUGGCGAAGGCGGCGUUCUGGACUGCAACUGACACUGUAAAACGAAAGCCAGGGGAGCAAACGGG
rnacentral:rRNA from 1 species